rnacentral:rRNA from 1 species
GAAAAUUACAAGCAUAAGCUUAAAACUUAAAGGACUUGGCGGCGCUUUAUACCCACCUAGAGGAGCCUGUCCUAUAACCUAUAACCCCCGUUAAACCUUACCUUCUUUUGCCUCCAGUCUAUAUACCGCCGUCGUCAGCUUACCCUUUAAGGGUUUAUUAGUAAGCAAAACCGAUUUAGCCCCAAACGUCAGGUCGAGGUGUAGCAUAUAAGAAGUGAAGAGAUGGGCUACAUUUCCUAUUAAAGGGCUUACGAAUAAUGCUUUGAAACAAGCAUAUUGAAGUAGGAUUUAGCAGUAAGUAAAAAAUAGAGUGUUUUACUGAAACCGGCCCUUAAGCGCGCACACACCGCCCGUCACUCUCUUCUAAUCUUGACAUUAAUAAUUUAUAUAUAAACUAAUAUAAUACUAAAGAAGAGACAAGUCGUAACAUGGUAAGUGUACUGGAAAGUGCACUUGGACAAAU